rnacentral:misc_RNA from 1 species
UCUUUGACAAACUCCUUGUAGAGUUCACAGAGGCUCUGAGCACUAAGUACAUGAGCUCCAUCAUUUGGUUGUUUCUUGAAAUUGAGAUCAUAUUUUGCAUCUUUUGUCAAGAACUCAGAUGCUGCUACAUCCAUGCCAAUUUUAAUCUUGCCGGUGUAACCAGCCUUCUCAAUUGCAUCCAUAAGCAAUACUAGCCCUUCCCUGUUAUCCUGGACAUUUGGAGCGAAUCCACCUUCA